CACGGUUGGUGGCGCACUUCCUGAUAGCGGGCGGUGUAUGAACAGCUGUAAUCAGCCAAACGAUACCCGGCCCGCCUGUUAAGCGGGCUUUUUUUU
rfam:Salmonella enterica subsp. enterica serovar Typhimurium str. LT2, complete genome.